UUAGGAAUCUUCCACAAUGGGCGAAAGCCUGAUGGAGCGACACCGCGUGAAGGAUGAAGGCCCUAGGGUCGUAAACUUCUAAAAGAGGGACGAUAAUGACGGUACCUCUUGAGAAGCACCGGCUAACUCCGUGCCAGCAGCCGCGGUAAUACGGAGGGUGCAAGCGUUAUCCGGAAUCACUGGGCGUAAAGGGCGCGUAGGCGGUCUGUUAAGUCUGGCGUUAAAGCCUGGGGCUCAACCCCAGAUCAGCGUUGGAUACUGGCAGGCUAGACGGCUGGAGAGGCGAGUGGAAUUACCAGUGUAGCGGUGGAAUGCGUAGAUACUGGUAGGAACACCCAUUGCGAAGGCAGCUCGCUGGACAGCACGUGACGCUGAGGCGCGAAAGUGUGGGGAGCAAACCGGAU
rnacentral:rRNA from 1 species